AAAACCGCUGCAACUAACAACAGUGAGGUCCAACCAACAGAAGACUAAAAGCGCGCAAAAAUAGUACAGAAACCAAUUUUAAAUUUUAGUUUUUCACCGCAGUUAGUCCUGUACCAACAUUAUAAAACCCCGACAGUUACAGUUCGCCAUAACCCCAAACCAAAAACGAAUACUUUAUUUUUCCCCUGAAGAAGGCGCCAUACCUGCGCCGAAACGUCGGGUUAAAUAAUAAAACUCGUUUUACAAAUUAAAAAGACUGCGUUGCCGAUAAUCAAAACA